rnacentral:rRNA from 1 species
AUAAGAGGGACGGCGCGUUGAAUAUCAAAAAACACAGGGACUCAAGGCGGCCUCCAAGGCCAACAACCUCGACGUCGCCUCGACCCUCCUCUCGCAGCUCAAGGUCCUCCUCACCAAGUUCCCCAGCCUCCCCCCGCUGUUCCAGCAGACGCCCAACGCCGUGGAGGAGCUCAAGCUUGCGAGGGAAAUUUAUGAGCAGGCAGUUAUUUUGAGUGUGAAAAUGGAAGACCAAGAUGCAUUUGAAAGGGACUUCUGCCAGCUCAAGCCGUAUUACAUGGACACAUGUCGCAGUUAAGUUAAACGAGAAGGGAUACGAUUACCUGUCAAUAAACGACGCGAAGCAGAUGUUUAUGUUCAGCUCCGACAAGGAACUGCAGCAGUACAUCGCAGAGGAGCACCCCGAGUGGGACGUCAAGGGCGGCCGGGUCUUGCUCCAGAAGGCGAAGGAGUCGCAGCCCUGCAAGGAGAUCCCGGCGGCGCCGGUCAUCAACCAGACCCUCGGCUACGCGAGGGAGCUGGAGAGGAUUGUGUGAUUUGUUUGCCUCUUUUUUCCUUCAUCUUUGGACUGAAUUUCCCAUGAAGAGGUGGAUUGUUGGAUUGCCCUGUGACCCGGCUGUACUAUUUUGUUAAAUCGUUUGUUUCACCCACGGUUUCCAAAGAUACACAACUGUGAAAUGCCGGCUUAAAAUGGCAAAAGGAACAACGUUUGUUAUGUUAGUCAAUUGAUUGUGUAAGA